AUUGAACGCUGGCGGCAUGCCUAACACAUGCAAGUCGAACGGUAACGCGGGGGCAACCCUGGCGACGAGUGGCGGACGGGUGAGUAAUACGUAGGAAUCUGCCCAUUUGUGGGGGAUAACCCGGCGAAAGCCGGGCUAAUACCGCAUACGCUCUACGGAGGAAAGCAGGGGAUCGUAAGAACUUGCGCUAAUGGAUGAGCCUACGUCGGAUUAGCUAGUUGGUAGGGUAACGGCCUACCAAGGCGACGAUCCGUAGCUGGUCUGAGAGGACGAUCAGCCACACUGGGACUGAGACACGGCCCAGACUCCUACGGGAGGCAGCAGUGGGGAAUAUUGGACAAUGGGGGCAACCCUGAUCCAGCAAUGCCGCGUGUGUGAAGAAGGCCUGCGGGUUGUAAAGCACUUUCAGAGGGGAAGAAAAAAUCGGAGCUAACACCUCCGAGCUUGACGUUACCCUUAGAAGAAGCACCGGCUAACUCCGUGCCAGCCGCCGCAGUAA
rnacentral:rRNA from 1 species